UACGUAGGGACCAAGCGUUGUUCGGAUUUACUGGGCGUAAAGGGCGCGUAGGCGGCAAUUCAAGUCAGCUGUGAAAUCUCUGGCUUAACCAGAACGGCCAGCUGAUACUGCUUUGCUAGAGUGCAGAAGGGGCAAUCGGAAUUCUUGGUGUAGCGGUGAAAUGCGUAGAUAUCAAGAGGAACACCUGAGGUGAAGACGGGUUGCUGGGCUGACACUGACGCUGAGGCGACGAAAGCCAGGGGAGCAAACGGG
rnacentral:rRNA from 1 species